rnacentral:rRNA from 1 species
UGGGGAAUUUUGGACAAUGGGCGAAAGCCUGAUCCAGCAAUGCCGCGUGUGUGAAGAAGGCCUUCGGGUUGUAAAGCACUUUUGUCCGGAAAGAAAUGGCUCUGGUUAAUACCUGGGGUCGAUGACGGUACCGGAAGAAUAAGGACCGGCUAACUACGUGCCAGCAGCCGCGGUAAUACGUAGGGUCCAAGCGUUAAUCGGAAUUACUGGGCGUAAAGCGUGCGCAGGCGGUUGUGCAAGACCGAUGUGAAAUCCCCGAGCUUAACUUGGGAAUUGCAUUGGUGACUGCACGGCUAGAGUGUGUCAGAGGGGGGUUAGAAUUCCACGUGUAGCAGUGAAAUGCGUAGAGAUGUGGAGGAAUACCGAUGGCGAAGGCAGCCCCCUGGGAUAACACUGACGCUCAUGCACGAAAGCGUGGGGAGCAAACAGGAUUAGAUACCCUGGUAGUCCGCGCCCUAAACGAUGUCAACUAGUUGUUGGGGGAUUCAUUUCCUUAGUAACGCUAGCUAACGCGUGAAGUUGACCGCCUGGGGAGUACGGUCGCAAGNUUAAAA